GCCGGGCGUGGUGGCUCAUGCCAGUAAUCCCAGCACUUUGGGAGGCCAAGGUGGGUGGAUCACCUGAGGUCAGGAGUUCGAGAUCAGCCUGACCAACAUGGUGAAACCCCGUCUCUACUAAAAAAAAUUUUUAAAAAUUUUUUUUAAUAAAAAAUUAAAAAAAAUUAAUGGCCAGCUAAUUUUUGUAUUUUUAGUAGAGACAGGGUUUCACCAUGUUGGCCAGGCUGGUCUCAAACUCCUGACCUCAGGUGAUCCUGCCUGCU
rnacentral:SRP_RNA from 1 species